UGUAAACAUAAGGCUUUCUGCAAGAAGGACCUGGCUCCCAACAAAGAACGGAAAGAGGGUCCUGGUAGUAGAGGGCAACCAACUGUGCACUGCUUCCAGGGAAGGGUGAAGAGAGAGGAAAAGGAAUUUGAAGCUGUGGUAGCAGGACCUCCCUUGGCCACCUGCUGAGCCAGAACAAUUAAGAAUUCCUGAUGUUUUCCUCAAGAGGGAAGUCUGGAAUUGUGUUGGCAACCUCUUAAAAAGUCAAGGCCUCUUUGAGAGGGGC